rnacentral:misc_RNA from 1 species
UUGUGGAGGAGGACGCCGAAGGUGGGGCUAAUGACUGGGGUGAAGUCGUAACAAGGUAGCCGUACCGGAAGGUACGGCUGGAUCACCUCCUAACAGGGAGACAACAAAAUGUUUAAUAUUAUUAUUUUGUCACCUUAGGUCGAUCGGUAUCUCACGUUCUUAAUUUAUUAAGAAUUUCAUUUCCUAAGUUUUUCUAGGUCACACCCAUUAUGUUCCCUGGGCCAUUAGCUCAGGUGGUUAGAGCGCACCCCUGAUAAGGGUGAGGUCCCUGGUUCAAGUCCAGGAUGGCCCAUAUCUCUAUGUUGGGGGUAUAGCUCAGUUGGUAGAGCGCCUGCUUUGCAAGCAGGAUGUCAGCGGUUCGAGUCCGCUUACCUCCACUGAUUACCACCUCUUCCAUAUUUACAGAAGGGAAAUGUUUUGAGUUGUGAUCAAAUCCUGAACGAAUCUAGCUUCCUAAUGAAUCUAUUAAGAUGCUGGACUCAUUGAAUUAACUUCAUUGUUUUCAGAGAACCUUGACAACUGCAUAGAAUAUUUUUAAAGACAAUAAGCAUCUUAAAUGAUGCAGAUUUAUUAUUUUUGCUAAUGCAUUAAUAACAAUUCUAUUAAGCUGAUGCUUCAACUUGAAGUUAUUGGUCAAGCUACAA